UGGGCGGGCGGGCGGCAAUCAAAUGUUGUCCGUGCAUUAACUCAUGAACCGUUCAACCAAAGCUUUUAAAAUUUUAAUAUGUUGUUACUGACAACUAAAUGAAGGUCAAGUUCAAUAAUGGCGAUUUUGACUUUUACCGUUCAGGAGUUAUGGUUCUUGAAAGAUUGAAAAAUGGUUUUUCCAGUCGUGUCCGUGCAUUUACGCAUGAACUGUUCUACCAAAGCUUCCCAAAUUUUAAUAUGUUGUUACUGAUGACAAAAUGGAGGUCAAGUUCAAUAAUGACGAUUUUGACUUUUACCGUUCAGGAGUUAUGGUUCUUGAAAGAUUGAAAAAUGGAGUUUCAAGUCGUGUCCGUGUAUUUACACAUGAACUGUUCUACCAAAGCUUGCCAAAUUUUAAUAUGUUGUUACUGAUGACAAAAUGGAGGUCAAGUUCAAUAAUGACGAUUUUGACUUUUACCGUUCAGGAGUUAUGGUUCUUGAAAGAUUGAAAAAUGGUGUUUCCAGUCGUGUCCGUGCAUUUUCUCAUGAACCAUUCAACCAAAGCUUUUGAAAUUUUUAUAUGUUGUUACUGAUGACAAAAUAGAGGUCAAGUUCAAUAAUGACGAUUUUGACUUUUACCGUUCAGGAGUUAUGGUUCUUGAAAGAUCGUAAAAUGGCGUUUCCAUUCACUUUAUUGCAUUUACUCAUGAACCAUUCAAUCUAAGCUUUUCAAAUUUUAAUAUGUUGAUACUGAUGACAAAAUGGAGGUCAAAUUUGAUAUUGACGAUUUUCACUUUCACCAUUCAUCAAUAAUGGUUCUUGUGAUAUUGCCAGGACACAAAUAAAUGUUAACAAAUCCGGUUUGCUGUCGUUUGACAGCCUCUUGUAUUUCAA
rnacentral:lncRNA from 1 species